GUACAGCACCGCUGGAGGGGCCACCUGGGCUUCUCGGUACCGCCGCAUCAGCCCUGCGGCCAUGGGCAAAAGCCCAUCCCCCUCUGCAGCCGUGAGGACGGACAUGAGCACCUGGUAGAGGUGGAGAGCAGAGAACAACAAGUGCCCGCAGCUUUGCCAGCCAGCUUGGAGGUCAUCUGGACGUGUGACAAAAGGCAGAAAGAAAAUAUUCCAUCUUCAGAAUGUUGCCGAAGAUAGACGUGACCCUGGCCUUGGUCGCCUCCAGCCUAGACAGGGCGUCCCUGACAAAGACGGAGAGGAGCCAGCCCACGGUGGGCACCGGGUGCAGGGGUGGGACAGUCACCGGCUUGACUGCUGCACCCGCUACGCCCAGCUUCUUCAGCACCCCGAGGCGUCUCACAGGCUCAGCACUUACUUGUAGGCGGCCAUCUUCUUCCCACAGGAACGACAUUCCAGGUACUCUGUGCCCAUAAAGUACCAGCCGUCCCUGUCCAGAACCCUGCGCACCGUCUUGUACAGCCCUGCGCCGGUCAGCUUUGUGUCACAGCUGGGGCACACAAGCCUGCACGCCCACAUCCUGUAGGGCAUCCACAGGAAGAACGGCCUCUGGAAGAAGGCGUGGGACGAUGCAGGGGUCUGGGUGUAGAGGGGCCGGGCUCCGGGAGGGUACCACCAGAGGCGAAGGUCGGUGGUGAGGACACGCUGGCCCCUGGCGUUCCUGGUGAACAGAGCCCGGCCCACCCAGUCCUGCUGCUCCUCCGGCAGAGUCUGCCUCCAGCUGUGAGGCAGCAACUUCACCACAGAAACAGACAAAAGGACAGCCCUCAGCUGCGGCUGCAGCUCUGGUCCUGGGCCGCACGGCGACGCCGCUGUCACCACUGGAAGACAGGUCCAGGUCAUCGACUGGCACAGGAGUGGAGGCUGAAGAUGGGACCUCUGCAAAAAUAACUAAAAAACAAACUUUACUAUCCCAGUUAAACUACUGACGGACAACAACAAUCACCAUACCAUAAUGUGAUGACAUACAGACGGACAGCGAAGCGUGAGUAUCUACCAAGGUUAGGUUGUUAGGCCUACAGCUGAUCUCUACAGGGUCCAGUAAACAUCAACCGUACCUCGUAGUCACCUUAUAACUUACAUACAGUUUUACACCAUUAAUCCAUAGAAGGCUUCUGAAUAACAGAAGAACAGCUAUUAUCAGGUCCAAACACGUUCACCACAGAAUCAUUUACAUUUGAUAAAGGGUUAUAACCAUUGCAUGUGUGCUUGUGCGUGUGAGUGAACUCACGCUGACUCUCCACCUCCAAGGCAGCAGCCAGGAGCAUCUCGUCUGAGGGCUCGUUAGCAGCUGUUUCACACAGAAAAGACAAAGAAACACCUACUGUCAGAUGGUGGGCACUGGGGCUGCUGGGAGGGAUGCUGGUUCUUCUCCUGGUCCCGGCCCAGUAUGUAGGUCUUUAAAGCAUGCAGGUUGCUGCCUGGGAUGCACUUCUUCUUCCUCAGCCACUGCACGUAGCUACAGAAACAACAACAUCACUAACAACUGUGUGCGCGGUUGUUCCAGACAGACUCAAUGUCACUAUUUCAUCUGCACUGGUGUUUGUUGUCUGUGCACAGGCUUACGUCUCAACCUCUUUCCCCGUGGCCUCGUACAUGGAGGCGUAGGUCAUGGCUCCGUGGGGGCCGAACUCCACCAACUUCUUGUCUUGGCUCCGGACAGACUUGGAACCCUCCGUGGCACGGCAUCCCUCCACGGCUGACAUCACCUCUGGGAACAGCUUGCUGUAGGAGCACCUUGUUGGCCAUAAGUGGUGAGCUGGAUGUGUCACCACUCUCCCGCUCCUUCUGGUGUGAGGCCAGCAGGGACACAGCGUAGCCCACGUCGUGACUCAGGAGCCACUUGAAGAAUGCAAGGCACCGGCUGGAUGGUGUUGAAGGCACUGGAGAAGUCAAAGAACAUGAUCCUCACAGUGCUGCCGGGCUUCUCUAGGUGCCCCAACCAACCUUCUUAUCAAGCCUCUCUUCCACCGCUACCACCUCUUAGCAAGCCUCUGGUGGGACGGGUUCAUCCUCUGUGCUGAGACUUAAUUAUGAUAUGCCACAGCAACGUCAGCCCCAAGUAUUGGCUGAGGUGGAGUCAACUUUAGCAGCAGUGAUGCAGCAUCAUAAUGCACAGUACGUAAGUCUUGUUUGUAUGUGUAUGUACUUGUAACAGUAUAUUGUUCAUAUGUUGCGUUUGUUUCUAGAAAGUCUGUCAUUUACCAGUUUGAAACGGCCCCGGGGUGGUAAUUCCAUUAACUGGCGUUGGACCACGUGGUGUCACAUGCUUUUAUUGCCAGAUCUAACCUAAGCCAUGCAGAUGUUGGAUUAUUUGUUGCACAUGCAGCCCAUCUCCAGUCAGUCUGUGAAGAUGUCAUGGUCAGUUCUUUACAGGUCUGUGUGGUAGUUGGUUGUUUAGGCUAUAGACUUGUUCACAUUUGUGUCACGGUGGACAUGAGUGAAAGGUGCCAAAAGACUCAACGCUGAUAAUAUUUCAUCUUCUUCUAUAUUUGCAUAAAUCAAAUUUAAACCUUGUUUUCUCACCCAAUGGUUGGUGUCAGCGCAACAGAGCUAAGAUUUGACAUUUACUUGGUUUAUUCUAGUUCAUAAACUCUGAAAACAUUUAAAAAUCACACUCCUGCUGUGCACCCGUUUUUG